rnacentral:misc_RNA from 1 species
GAAAUGCGAUAAGUAGUGUGAAUUGCAGAAUUCAGUGAAUCAUCGAAUCUUUGAACGCACAUUGCGCCCCUUGGUAUUCCAUGGGGCAUGCCUGUUCGAGCGUCAUCUACACCCUCAAGCUCUGCUUGGUGUUGGGCGUCUGUCCCCGCCUCUGCGCGGGGACUCGCCCCAAAUUCAUUGGCAGCGGUCUUUGCCUCCUCUCGCGCAGCACAACGCGCUUCUCGAGGUGUUGCGGCCGCGACCACAAAGCUCUUAACCGUCUUUGACCUCGGAUCAGGUAGGGAUACCCGCUGAACUUAA